AUUGAACGCUGGCGGCAGGCCUAACACAUGCAAGUCGAGCGAGCGGCGGACAGGUGCGUAAUGUGUGGGAAUCUGCCUGAUGGAGGGGGAUAACUACUGGAAACGGUAGCUAAUACCGCCUACCAUCAGAUGUGCCCACAUGGGAUUAGCUAGUAGGUGGGGUAAUGGCGCACCUAGGCGACGAACCCUAGCUGGUCUGAGAGGAUGACCAGCCAAACCGGGAAUGAGGCACGGCCCGGACUCCUACGAGAGGCAGCAGUGUGGAAUAUUGCAGAAUGGGCGCAAUUCUGAGGGAGCAAUGCCGCGUGAAUGAAGAAGGCUUUAGGGUUGUAAAGUUCUUUCGGUGUAGAGGCGUUAAUCACAGAAGAAGCACCGGCUAACUCCGUGCCAGCCGCCGCGGUAAUAC
rnacentral:rRNA from 1 species